rnacentral:rRNA from 2 species
AGAGUUUGAUCAUGGCUCAGAACGAACGCUGGCGGCAGGCCUAACACAUGCAAGUCGAACGCCCCUUCGGGGGAGUGGCAGACGGGUGAGUAACACGUGGGAACCUACCCAGGAGUACGGAAUAACUCAGGGAAACUUGUGCUAAUACCGUAUACGUCCUUCGGGAGAAAGUUUUAACGCUCUUGGAUGGGCCCGCGUUGGAUUAGCUAGUUGGUGGGGUAACGGCCUACCAAGGCGACGAUCCAUAGCUGGUCUGAGAGGAUGAUCAGCCACACUGGGACUGAGACACGGCCCAGACUCCUACGGGAGGCAGCAGUGGGGAAUCUUGGACAAUGGGCGCAAGCCUGAUCCAGCCAUGCCGCGUGAGUGAUGAAGGCCCUAGGGUUGUAAAGCUCUUUCACCGGUGAAGAUAAUGACGGUAGCCGGAGAAGAAGCCCCGGCUAACUCCGUGCCAGCAGCCGCGGUAAUACGGAGGGGGCUAGCGUUGUUCGGAAUUACUGGGCGUAAAGCGCACGUAGGCGGGUAUCCAAGUUGGGGGUGAAAUCCCGGGGCUCAACCCCGGAACUGCCUCCAAAACUGGGUACCUAGAGUCCGAGAGAGGUGAGUGGAAUUCCCAGUGUA